rnacentral:rRNA from 1 species
GACGAACCGUGCGAACGUUGUUCGGAUUCACUGGGCUUAAAGGGCGCGUAGGCGGCGGCUCAAGUCGGGGGUGAAAUCCUUCCGCUUAACGGGAGAAUUGCCUUCGAUACUGGGUCGCUGGAGGGGGAUAGGGGUGCGCGGAACUUCCGGUAGAGCGGUGAAAUGCGUAGAUAUCGGAAGGAACGCCGGUGGCGAAAGCGGCGCACUGGAUCCCUACUGACGCUGAGGCGCGAAAGCCAGGGGAGCAAACGGG